rfam:Stegodyphus mimosarum contig51391, whole genome shotgun sequence.
GCCUUCGCGGUGUAGUGGUCAGCACGCUGGACGCGAAUUCCAGAUGUCCGUGGUUCGAGUCCCGCCGAAGGCG